UUAAGCGACUAAGCGUACACGGUGGAUGCCCUGGCAGUCAGAGGCGAUGAAGGACGUGCUAAUCUGCGAUAAGCGUCGGUGAGGUGAUAUGAACCGUUAUAACCGGCGAUUUCCGAAUGGGGAAACCCAGUGUGUUUCGACACACUAUCAUUAACUGAAUCCAUAGGUUAAUGAGGCGAACCGGGGGAACUGAAACAUCUAAGUACCCCGAGGAAAAGAAAUCAACCGAGAUUCCCCCAGUAGCGGCGAGCGAACGGGGAGGAGCCCAGAGCCUGAAUCAGUGUGUGUGUUAGUGGAAGCGUCUGGAAAGGCGCGCGAUACAGGGUGACAGCCCCGUACACAAAAAUGCACAUAUUGUGAGCUCGAUGAGUAGGGCGGGACACGUGGUAUCCUGUCUGAAUAUGGGGGGACCAUCCUCCAAGGCUAAAUACUCCUGACUGACCGAUAGUGAACCAGUACCGUGAGGGAAAGGCGAAAAGAACCCCGGCGAGGGGAGUGAAAAAGAACCUGAAACCGUGUACGUACAAGCAGUGGGAGCCUCUUAAUGGGGUGACUGCGUACCUUUUGUAUAAUGGGUCAGCGACUUAUAUUCUGUAGCAAGGUUAACCGAAUAGGGGAGCCGAAGGGAAACCGAGUCUUAACUGGGCGUUAAGUUGCAGGGUAUAGACCCGAAACCCGGUGAUCUAGCCAUGGGCAGGUUGAAGGUUGGGUAACACUAACUGGAGGACCGAACCGACUAAUGUUGAAAAAUUAGCGGAUGACUUGUGGCUGGGGGUGAAAGGCCAAUCAAACCGGGAGAUAGCUGGUUCUCCCCGAAAGCUAUUUAGGUAGCGCCUCGUGAAUUCAUCUCCGGGGGUAGAGCACUGUUUCGGCAAGGGGGUCAUCCCGACUUACCAACCCGAUGCAAACUGCGAAUACCGGAGAAUGUUAUCACGGGAGACACACGGCGGGUGCUAACGUCCGUCGUGAAGAGGGAAACAACCCAGACCGCCAGCUAAGGUCCCAAAGUCAUGGUUAAGUGGGAAACGAUGUGGGAAGGCCCAGACAGCCAGGAUGUUGGCUUAGAAGCAGCCAUCAUUUAAAGAAAGCGUAAUAGCUCACUGGUCGAGUCGGCCUGCGCGGAAGAUGUAACGGGGCUAAACCAUGCACCGAAGCUGCGGCAGCGACACUAUGUGUUGUUGGGUAGGGGAGCGUUCUGUAAGCCUGUGAAGGUGGCCUGUGAGGGUUGCUGGAGGUAUCAGAAGUGCGAAUGCUGACAUAAGUAACGAUAAAGCGGGUGAAAAGCCCGCUCGCCGGAAGACCAAGGGUUCCUGUCCAACGUUAAUCGGGGCAGGGUGAGUCGACCCCUAAGGCGAGGCCGAAAGGCGUAGUCGAUGGGAAACAGGUUAAUAUUCCUGUACUUGGUGUUACUGCGAAGGGGGGACGGAGAAGGCUAUGUUGGCCGGGCGACGGUUGUCCCGGUUUAAGCGUGUAGGCUGGUUUUCCAGGCAAAUCCGGAAAACCAAGGCUGAGGCGUGAUGACGAGGCACUACGGUGCUGAAGCGACAAAUGCCCUGCUUCCAGGAAAAGCCUCUAAGCAUCAGGUAACAUCAAAUCGUACCCCAAACCGACACAGGUGGUCAGGUAGAGAAUACCAAGGCGCUUGAGAGAACUCGGGUGAAGGAACUAGGCAAAAUGGUGCCGUAACUUCGGGAGAAGGCACGCUGAUAUGUAGGUGAAGCGACUUGCUCGUGGAGCUGAAAUCAGUCGAAGAUACCAGCUGGCUGCAACUGUUUAUUAAAAACACAGCACUGUGCAAACACGAAAGUGGACGUAUACGGUGUGACGCCUGCCCGGUGCCGGAAGGUUAAUUGAUGGGGUUAGCGGCAACGCGAAGCUCUUGAUCGAAGCCCCGGUAAACGGCGGCCGUAACUAUAACGGUCCUAAGGUAGCGAAAUUCCUUGUCGGGUAAGUUCCGACCUGCACGAAUGGCGUAAUGAUGGCCAGGCUGUCUCCACCCGAGACUCAGUGAAAUUGAACUCGCUGUGAAGAUGCAGUGUACCCGCGGCAAGACGGAAAGACCCCGUGAACCUUUACUAUAGCUUGACACUGAACAUUGAGCCUUGAUGUGUAGGAUAGGUGGGAGGCUUUGAAGUGUGGACGCCAGUCUGCAUGGAGCCGACCUUGAAAUACCACCCUUUAAUGUUUGAUGUUCUAACGUUGGCCCGUAAUCCGGGUUGCGGACAGUGUCUGGUGGGUAGUUUGACUGGGGCGGUCUCCUCCUAAAGAGUAACGGAGGAGCACGAAGGUUGGCUAAUCCUGGUCGGACAUCAGGAGGUUAGUGCAAUGGCAUAAGCCAGCUUGACUGCGAGCGUGACGGCGCGAGCAGGUGCGAAAGCAGGUCAUAGUGAUCCGGUGGUUCUGAAUGGAAGGGCCAUCGCUCAACGGAUAAAAGGUACUCCGGGGAUAACAGGCUGAUACCGCCCAAGAGUUCAUAUCGACGGCGGUGUUUGGCACCUCGAUGUCGGCUCAUCACAUCCUGGGGCUGAAGUAGGUCCCAAGGGUAUGGCUGUUCGCCAUUUAAAGUGGUACGCGAGCUGGGUUUAGAACGUCGUGAGACAGUUCGGUCCCUAUCUGCCGUGGGCGCUGGAGAACUGAGGGGGGCUGCUCCUAGUACGAGAGGACCGGAGUGGACGCAUCACUGGUGUUCGGGUUGUCAUGCCAAUGGCACUGCCCGGUAGCUAAAUGCGGAAGAGAUAAGUGCUGAAAGCAUCUAAGCACGAAACUUGCCCCGAGAUGAGUUCUCCCUGAGACUUAGAGUCUCCUGAAGGAACGUUGAAGACGACGACGUUGAUAGGCCGGGUGUGUAAGCGCAGCGAUGCGUUGAGCUAACCGGUACUAAUGAACCGUGAGGCUUAACCU
rnacentral:rRNA from 1 species